rnacentral:rRNA from 1 species
CGGGGUGCAGCAGGCGCGAAAACUUUACAAUGCCGGCAACGGCGAUAAGGGAACCUCGAGUGCCAGGUUACAAAUCUGGCUGUCGUGAUGCCUAAAAAGCAUUGCAUAGCAAGGGCCGGGCAAGACCGGUGCCAGCCGCCGCGGUAACACCGGCGGCUCGAGUGGUAACCGUUAUUAUUGGGUCUAAAGGGUCUGUAGCCGGCCGGAUAAGUCUCUUGGGAAAUCUGGCAGCUUAACUGUCAGGCUUUCAGGAGAUACUGUCUGGCUCGAGGCCGGGAGAGGUGAGAGGUACUUCAGGGGUAGGGGUGAAAUCUUGUAAUCCUUGAAGGACCACCAGUGGCGAAGGCGUCUCACCAGAACGGACCUGACGGCAAGGGACGAAAGCUAGGGGCACGAACCGGAUUAGAUACCCGGGUAGUCCUAGCCGUAAACGAUACUCGCUAGGUGUCGGCCACGGUGCGACCGUGGUCGGUGCCGUAGGGAAGCCGUGAAGCGAGCCACCUGGGAAGUACGGCCGCAAGGCUGAAACUUAAAGGAAUUGGCGGGGGAGCACAAGGGCGAAUUCGCG